UUUUAUGAGAGUUUGAUCCUGGCUCAGGACGAACGCUGGCGGCGUGCCUAAUACAUGCAAGUCGAACGCUUCUUUUUCCACCGGAGCUUGCUCCACCGGAAAAAGAAGAGUGGCGAACGGGUGAGUACUACGUGGGUAACCGGCCCAUCAGAAGGGGAUAACACUUGGAAACAGGGGCUAAAACCGUAUAACAAUAAAAACCGCAUGGUUUGGAUUUGAAAGGCGCUUUCGGGUGUCGCUGAUGGAGGGACCCGCGGUGCAUUAGCUAGUUGGUGAGGUAACGGCUCACCA
rnacentral:rRNA from 1 species